GGGGAGCAUAUACAGGAAUAAACCUUUGCUGGAGAACCACGCAGUGGCUCCUGAUGGGGUGGGAAUGGGCAUAAAAGAGAUAUGAGGCAGAGUGACCAAUGACAGAGGAUCACAACAAGAAAAGGCACAUUUGAGAGCAAUUAUAAGGUCAAUGAUACUGAGAAGUGCUGCACUUCUAAAUCUACCUCCCAAUAACAUAUUGGUCUAAAUUGAAAGGGUUCUUCCUGUUUUUAAUCAUACAUGAUUUUAAUUUAACUCACACAGUCUCCCUGUACUAGUUUGCUAGAGCUGCUGUGGUAAAAUACCAAAACUAGAUGGCUUAAACAACAGUGACUUAUUGUCACACAGUUCUGUAGACAAGAAGUCUAAGAUCCAGCUGUCAGCAGGGUUGGUUCCUUUGAAGACUGUGAGGGAGAAUCUGCUUCAGCCUCUCUAGCUUCUAAAGGUUUGCUCGCUGGGAUCUUUGGUGUUGCUUGGCUUGUAGACACAUCACCCCAACCUCUGGCUUUAUGUACACAUGUCAUUCUUCCUGUGUGUGUCUCUCUGUGCAUAAAUUCCUUUUUUUUUUUUUAAGAAGGACACCAGUCAUAUUGGAUUAGGGCCUCACCUGCUCCAUUGUGACUUCAUAUUAACUAAUUACAUCUACAACAACCUAAUUUCCAAAUAAGGUCACAUUCUGAGCUUCUGGGAGUUAAGACCCCAACAUGUAAAUCUGGAGGGAUGCAAUUCAACACGUAAUAUUCCCUAACACAAUAUUUCCAUAACAGUCUGUAGCGUCUUCUUCAGGCUAAGGGAUUGGGGCCUCAUCUAUCAGAGUUGUAAUAAGGAACAAAGGUUGUUGAAGGUAUCCAAAGGGCAAUGUAACCCAAAAAUGUGAACAACUGGUAUAUAUGGAGCAUCAGGAAGAGUAGCUAAUGGAUGUGGAGCUUAAUACCAAGGCGAUGGGUUGAUUUGUGCAGCAAACCACCAUGGUUCACGUUUACCUGUGUAGCAUACCUGUACAUCCUGCACAUAUACCCGAGCUUAAAAGUUGAAGGAAAAUAAAUAAAUUUAAUAUAAAUAUUUAUUUUGAAUUCUUUAUCAGGAAGUUUGUAUAUCUCCAUGUCUUUUGGGUCAGCUACUAGAAGAUUAUUGUGUUCUUUGGGUAGGAGUUAUGUCUCGUUAUUGGUUUUUUGUGUUUCUUGUUGACUUACAUUGAGGUCUGAACAUUUGAAAAAGUAGAGGCUUGUUCCAGUCUGCAGACUGGCUUUGUCUUGGGGGAGCCCUUCACCAGUCAGCCUACCCAGAGAUUCUGGGUAUACCACCUGGUAUGGUUCAUGAGCAGGCUUGCUGCUAAUGUCCUCCAGCAGGCUGGCCUGUUUCUUGGGUCAGCAGGUGAGCAGACCCUGGUGCCUGGGUCUGCAGGUGCCAACCUGGUGACUAGGGCCAUGGGGGGUAUUCUAGGGCUGGGGUGGGCAUGAAGUCUGGGGCUGUAGGGGCCAUCCCAGUGCUGGGGGUGGUCUGGAGCCUAGGGCUGCUGGGGCUACCCUGGCCCUAGGGUGGGCCUAGAGUCUGAAUCUGUGGGGGCUGACCUGGCCCUAGGGUAGAUCCAAAGCCACUGAGGCCCAGUCUGGAUCCUGGGGCUGAGGCAGGCCUGAAGACUGAGUCUGCCAGGCCGGACUGGAGCCUGGGGCUGCAGGAUCCAGCCUUGGACUAGGGUAGUCCUAUAGGUUCAGUCCAGAGGGACCGGCCUGGAGUCUUAGGUUAUGGUGAGCCCAGUGUUGGGUUUUACUGUGGCAGGCCCAGUGUUGGCAUCCAAGGCAAAGUGCAGUGCUUACUUUUCUCUCCUUUCCCCAAGUGAAGGGUAUCUCUCUCCAUGCCGUGCUGCCUGAAGUUGGGGGCAGUGAUGCAGGUAAUAUAAAGCUGUCCUUCUCACCCUCCCCAGUGCUACUCAUAACAUCAGGAUGAAGCUUACAAACAACACAUUGAGUAAAAGGAGUCAGACAUAAAAGAACACAUUGAUAUGAUUCCCUCAAUGUUAAGUUCAAGAGCAGGAUAAUCUAAACUACAUUGUUUAGUGAUGCUUUUUAUAAGAGAUAAAAAUAUCUUUAAAAAGCAAUGAUAUAAUUAACAAAAUGUCAGAACAAAGAUUAGUCUCUGGGAGGACAAUAUAGAAGGAAAUUGGGAGUCUGACGAGGCUCUGUUUCUUAGACUGAAUGGUUGUUACAGGGGUGCUUUCUUUAAAAGUGUUCCUUAAACAACAGCUUGUAUAGAUUGUAUGCACUUCCCUGUCUGUAUAAUAUAAUUCAAAAUAAAACAAGGGAAAUAAUUUGCAAAAGAAAAUGUCUCCUGGAUGUCUUGGACUUAGAAAAUAAAAGCAAGAAUUAGUAGGUAGCAGACAAGCUGUAAGCAAUUUUGCACAGUUGGGUAUACAAAGUGGUAUUGGCUGAUAGUUUUCACAUUCCACUCACGGAGAGGUAGAUGGGUUUAAUAGCUGUGUUUAAAGUGUCAGAUGCAAGAACAAUGAUAGGUUUCCCUUAAACGAUUUUCACUAAUUCCCUCCCAGCUCAAGAACUUUUUUCAUUAAAAUGGUCCUUUGCUGCCUAUCAGAAACAAUUAAAUCCUCACCUCAUAGCAGUCUCCAUCUUACGUCAACCACUCCCUUUGGCCCCCAAAAUAUACCUCCAAUAUUAUCUAACACGAACUGGAAUUGCCACAUGGUCAAGGCAAUAAAGAAAUAAAGCCACGAAAGAAACCAAAUGAAAGCAAAGGUAUAAAAUGAUUUAGAUGUUAGUCUGCAGAAAGAAAAAGCUGAAGGAAUUAGAAACAGCCACAGGAACUUUCUGUGAACCAGGAGAGGCACUUCCAUUUACAAACCACACUUUGUUUUUCAUAGAGUGGGCUUGAUCAUCACUUAAGAACUGAAAAUUCAGCAUUCCUUCUAAGGUGCAUUUUGUUCAAAUUGAUAUAAGUGCCCCAGAUGGUUUGGCUUAUGGUAUCCCAUUGAUUAUUGCGUUCUGCUCUUGCAAGUCAUAGAUCUGUUGUAAUCUAACUGUCUGGGGAGUGGCCAUUAUUCUAGUUUCAAACCCAUUCUGUCCUCAGUCACACGCAUUCAAGCAAAGUAAUGCAGGGGGACCAGAUAAAAGCCGCCCAUUAGAAACCUCAGUUGCUGCUUGCCUCUCCCACAGAAUUGAAUAUAUUACUCCAGCUAUCGUCAACAAACAUGCUUCAACAACAGGAUCCUCACUGUUUGGAAGACAGCCCCUGAGACCCAGAGCAAAUGGGUCAAAGUCUCAGUUACAUCAGUAUAACUACAAAGACAAUAAUUCUUACCUCUCUCACAGGAUCCAGUGAAAAAGUAAGUGAAUAAAAAUAGACUGAAAACAGCAAUGUAAGGAGCUAAAAGUACUGUGUGCAUUGUUGUAAAAUAUUAAGUCAACAGUCCAAUCAUUUAUUGCCACUGAAAGUCUAAUAUCUUAUCUGACAGGUUGUAAACUUUCAGAGACAUAAGCUUGAAGUGUGUAUGUUUGUGUGUUUUAAGUGUGAACUGAAGCAGGUGGCAAUAAGGGGAAGAAGGAGGGGAAAUGGGAAGAAAAGUAACACGAAGAAGAAAUGCAUAAAGAAGAGACCAUGAUCCAGUGGGCAAAUAACUCAGUUGAAUCUUUGAAGAAACAGGUGUCAAUGCUUGUUAUCAUGGUGAAGGUCAAGUAACAUUUUUCUAGACAUUUAUCUUUACUGCUCUCUGCUAGGAAUGACACCAGCGCAUCACAAUACUGCCCUCCUAGCCUCUCAGCCUGUGCUGCCUCCCACCAUGGAGGCACACCACUGCCAUUCUCCAUUUACCUUCCCUCAUCUCCCUCCCCAGCUCAGGCUCCUUGCCUCACAGCUCAUCUCUCCAGACUCUGAGUACAUUUCAAACUGUCUAUGGCACCAAAUAAUAAGACAAAACAAAAUAGGAAAUAACAAGCUAAAGAAUCAGGUCUAGGAAGGAAGCUCCCUUUCAGUCAGAACCCUCUAGUUUCUUGUGUUACUUCAGGUCGGCUGUGGAUUUGAUGUGUAAAAGGAUGUGUGGGGAAAGAGAGCAGAAAUUAGGAAAAGCCUUCAGCCUGGGAUGUAGGUCUGAUACUGCGGAAGGAGAGAGGGAUAGAAUAUUGGAGAGCAAGAGUCUCAAACUGCAGGAAAAAAUGGCUUGGCCAGACCUAUGGGCAGUCCUUAAGGCAAAGUUACCCACUGGAGAGCUCCAUGUCAUGUCUCAGUACCCAUCUGUGCUCAGCCACUGGAUGGCUGCAGCCUGCAGAAAGGUUGGUCGCAGUGAAAAUGUGGGAGCAGUUAAAAAGGGACACAGGUGGGGCCAUUUGUGCUUCCUGCAGCAAGACGAUCUAAGCAGCAGCCCCUCAAGAAAUAUGUUCCUUUACCUAUUGGUCACCUGAAAGUAAGGGCCUUUUUUUUUUGCUCACUCCAUAGCAUAGAAGUUGCAAACUGACUGUAAUGGACAAUCUGGGAAGAUGAGGUUUUUUUUUUUUUUUGCUAUUGCAUUUGGGUAUUGAAUAGUGUUUUAAAAACUUUUGAGCUAGUGACCAAUAUUUAAAACAAAUAGAUUUUACAUUUUUAAAAUUCACACUUCCAGCUUUUCUUGAAAUGAAAUGCAAAGGGACAACAUUCUUUCACGCUGGUGGAAAAACAGCCUUCCCCCUUAGUGGACAUUCACUCUGCAGCUGGCCGUAUUUCCCACCAUUCCUUUAUGCCUACACCAGCCCACGCACGGAUCACUUUACUGACUGUUCUCCAUGAUCAUUUAAGGCUUUAAGUCUCCUGCAUUCAUGCCUGUGUCACCAUUAGAACAUAAUAUCACUGACGGCAAUUAUUUUGUCUGUUUGGAUCAUUGACAGGCAAUUAAUUGCCUGCAACAGUACAAGUUACAUAUUAGCUGCCCAAUAAAUAUUUGUUCAAUAAAAUAGGGUGCUAUCAACAUAGAGUGUUGGAAGAAAUUGAGUGGAUGGUGGUGGAGAAAAGGCACUUGUUUCAGAGUCUUGUCUAUGGUUAGCUUUGCACUACCCACACACAACCAAACUGGCACCUAAGGGAGAAGGUGAGACUCCAGACACAGCAGUAGAGGGUGCUUGUUCUAAGGAAUAUGUAGAAUCAAGGUGGUACAGAAUGGGUGUGUAUACAGCAGCAAAAAGUCUCCCCUUGCAUGUCCUGUACCCUCUCGCAGGACUUCUUUACUCUCCUUUCAAAUUUAGGAUGAGGGAGUGGGUUUG
rnacentral:lncRNA from 10 species